UAGUAUUCAAUUGGUGAUUGAGCAAUCAAAUAAUUAAGCAUAUGAUUGAAUAAAUAAACUAAUAUGAUAAAUCAAGAAAUCAAAAUAAUAUUCGAAUAACAAGAGUCAUGAAAGAACCACAACCCUAGAACUUGAAGUUUAGCUCCCCACAUAAACAUGAUAGCCAAACAACAAAUCAUAUAGAGAAACAUAAGAAAUACUAAGUUUGGCGGAAGAAGAUGAAAUCCGGCCUCCACGGUGGCUCCUUGCUAUCCCUAAGUCGAAUCCCCUUCAAAAAGUGUGUUCUAUCCCCUAAAAGAGACGUUUUUGACCUAUAUAUUGCGUAUAAAAGUCGUGGGCAAAAAUUUCCCUUUAUCUUUUCCGAAUCAGCUUCAGAGAUUGAUGGUGGGGUGGAUGCUUCGCGUCCGCCUUAGCUUGAACUUCUAAGCAUUGAAUAUUGGGGUGAAUGCUUUGCGUCCACCCUCUGUUCCCUCAACCUUGCUUUAUCCAGGUGCGAAUGCUAAGGUGGAUGCCUUCUUAAGACUUCAUUGCUAAGGUUGCUCCAAAUUGCAUUUUUUUCAAGGUUGGAUGCGACGCAUCCACCCUCUUCUCCUAUAGAAGGAGCAUCGUUUCUUCAUAUUUUUGCACUCCAAACAUCCUAAAUCAUCACACAACUUAAUUAGUCAUAAAACCAAUAUUUAACAUAUGUUGGUCAUUUUUAACACCAAAUAGCCCAAAAAAACUGUUAAAACAUGGGUAAAGUAAUAUUAAUACAUAUAGAAAUAUGCCCAACAUCAAUAGAUCUUCAUGAUUAAGAUCUAUAGUAGGGUGUAUUAUUAAGAUGUUAUGCAAAAAUGAUAUUUUACCAUUUCUCCAUACACUUUCACCGAUAACCAUCACCGUCGCUACUACUGUGUCCCACACUAUUAUAGAUUACCACCACUCACUGCCCACCACCCACUACUACCAUCCUCAACCACAACUACCCCCACUGCCAAUUACGACUAUCAAUUGUCAUUACUAUUAGCUACCAUUUUCAACUAUCAACCAUCAUCACCACAACAACCAUCAGUCACCACUAUACCACUAUAUAUCACCUACCACUAUUUUCAGUCACCACCACCAUCAACCAUCACCAUUAACUACUAUUAUCAUCCACCAUCUACUACCCAUAACUAUAACCAUAACCAUCAACCAACACCACCACCAACCACUACCCAAUCGGUAUCCACAACCACUACCAUUAGCCAUCACCAUCACCAACCAUCAUAUAUUUUUUUGAAAAUAUUUUAGUAAUAAAGUAUUAGAUGAAUUAGUAUUUGAUUUAAAUUUAUAUUUAUUAAUUUUUAAAUAAAGACAAUUUUAUAUGUUCAGAUAUUGAGAAAAUAAAUAAUUUUAAUUAUUCAGUAUUUAGAUCUUAAAAUAAUAUUUUAAUAUUUAAAUAUGUAUUUAAAUUUAUAUAUUUUAAUCUUAAUACAUAUUUUAAUAUUCAAAUACGUAUCCAAAUUUAAAUAUUUUAAUCCUAAUAAAAACAAAUAAAGCAAAGCGCUUUUCAUGACCGAAAAUGUUUAGAAAUUCCUAGAAGAUAGUUGUCCGCAACAACCUGAUGCAAAUGAGCCUGAAAAUUAGGUGUUGGCGUAUUCUUUUGAGCAGUUGGAAAGCACGAAUUCGUCUUCAUGUUUUUGGUGGACUCCUAUUAACUAAUGUUUGGGCAAUAACUCCAGCUUCAAAUGCCUUCUGAGUCAAAUUCUUGGACAGCGGAUUCGUCUUACAUGUUUAAAUUAAAAAAAGGAACAAUUUCAUAAUUUCACUUGUGAUUUUGCGUUAUUAUGCUUAUAUUGUGCUAACCUAUUUAUUACUCUCUCUAUCUAUAUUUAUGACAAUAAUCACUUUUUGAAAUUCAAUUUUUUUAAUUUUGACUGCAUAUUUGAACAUAGAGUUCUUUAAGUUUUUCUAAAUAAAAUUUACAUAUUUGAAAAUUACGUAAAAUUUAUAAUUCAAAAUAUUUAAAAGACAUACAAAAAAAUUACAAUUAAAAAAUAACUUUUUUGACUCUCGAAAUUCGAACACCGAAGGAAUAGUAAUAAAAAAAAAUUAUGAGUUGACUAAUUUGGUCUUUUUAAUACUACUUCUCUUUGCCCCCUCCAUCACCACUCUUAUGUUUCAUAAGUAUAUCUAUCAUUUUUGCCGUAUUUGCUGCUAUUGCUUUCAUUUUUUGCAGUAGCCUUUAGUUAAAAACAUGACUAUCUUCUUGAUAUAAGGGAGAGACAUUGCCUUUAUUAAAAAGAAAUAAAGAAAACUACGGUAUAUGAAAGUACGUACCAGCCUAGGCUCUCUCCCAUGUGCAUAUAUAUUACAUAUAUUGGUACAAUUAAGUCAUACAAACACCCCUACCCAUGAUGUCCGAAGAACAUCUAGAGCAAUAAAACUUUUUGCAAUGAGAAUCAGAGUGACAACGAUAAUAUGUGCAUCUGUCAUUUUGCUGGUGCUGCAGCACUUCACUUCUUAAUAGCUCUAUUGUUGCCAUUGCUCCUUCAUCACCUACUUGUACUUCUUCCAUGAUUAUCCUUCCAGACGAUGUAACUACGUACAUUUAUCAUUAAACUUCUAUUUUACUAUGCACGAGUUUAAGAAUAAAUCUAAACUUUUAAAACUUAUCCUAAACAAGUCAUAAUAUUUAUGUGAAUAUAAUUCUUUAGAUCAUAAAUAUACCAUAGUAUUUGCAUGCCUCUUAAAGCUUCUCAUUAAAUGUAAAAUUAAAAAUUUAAAUUAAACUAUUUUGAAAUUUAAUAGGGGACAAUUUUUUUUUAUGGAAGAAAUAACUAUUUGAAAAUAUAAUCUACUCUAGCCUUCAUUGAAACACAUGUAUACAGAGAGAUGGGGGGAAGAACUAACCAAUGGUAAAUAAGAGGAGGAGGACAGUGAAAAGAGCAAGUUUUGUUGAAGAUUUGGAAGCCAUAAUUCUGGUCUGUAAUGUCAAGGUCAUCGUCCGGGUUUUAUAGUAUGAUAGUUUUUAUUUAUAAAUUAGAUUAAAGUUGAAAGGGGACAAUAUUAUUAUAUUAGGAGCAGUAUGGUC
rnacentral:lncRNA from 1 species